rnacentral:rRNA from 1 species
AGUGAACGCUGGCGGUAGGCCUAACACAUGCAAGUCGAACGGCAGCACAGUAAGAGCUUGCUCUUACGGGUGGCGAGUGGCGGACGGGUGAGGAAUACAUCGGAAUCUACUUUUUCGUGGGGGAUAACGUAGGGAAACUUACGCUAAUACCGCAUACGACCUACGGGUUAAAGCAUGGGAUCUUCGGACCUUGCGCGAUUGAAUGAGCCGAUGUCGGAUUAGCUAGUUGGCGGGGUAAAGGCCCACCAAGGCGACGAUCCGUAGCUGCUCUGAGAGGAUGAUCAGCCCCACUGGAACUGAGACACGGUCCAGCUUCCUAAGGGCGGCAGCAGUGGGGAAUAUUGGCCAAUGGGAGCAAGCCUGAUCCAGCCAUACCGCCUGGGUGCAGAAGGCCUUCCGGUUGUAAAGCCUUUUUGUUGUGACAGAAAAGCCGCACGUUAAUCCCCCGCUGUUCUGACGGUACCCAACGAAUAAGCACCGGCUCACUUCGUG